UUGUUCGUCUUUGUUCAAAGAAAUAAAAUUUAAAAGCUUUGAACUUUAAUUGCAUUGCAUAUACACAGGCAUUCAACCAAUCAUUCGUCACCCAAAAUGGCAAACAAGUCUUCCUCUGCUUUUCUUCUCAUCUGCUUCUCUGCUUGAUCAUAAGCCCACUCUUUGUCCAAUUGGGUCUUGCUUCGCGAAUAUUAGCUGAUGAUGUGAGCGAAAAUAAGAAAGACAAUGGACAAAGUAAAAGUGGUGUUCAUGGAAGUCAAUCAGGCCACGCAGGCUCUAACACCGGAGAUAGUCCUCCUUCUGGAACAGUCUUAAUGUCUCCUCCUACCACGGAGACUAGGAUUGCAUUUGCGUCUGUUACUGUCAAUGGCACUGCUUCUGGAACUCCGAAAAAGAAUCCUUAGAUCGAACAGAAGACAAAGAAAGGAAGAAACGAUGCCAAUUAUUCCGCUUAAUUAUGUGAGAUCGCAAUGUAUAAUCAUUGUUUUAUAUAUUCCUGUUCACAUAUUUUGUGUCCUCUUUUAUUAGAUGGUUCAUUUGUUUCACAUACUUGAAUCAAAAGAAAUAAUGGGAUCCAUUAUAUAUGUUUUAAGAGCAUAUAUGGAGGAUUAUAUGAUACUCUGUUUUCUGGGUUAUUAAUUUUACAUGUAUUGGAGGAUUAUAUUGUCCGUUUUGAGUU